rnacentral:rRNA from 1 species
AGUUAACGCUGGCGGCGUGCCUAACACAUGCAAGUCGAGCGAAGUAACUGGCGUAGCAAUACGAUAAGUGCUGAGCGGCAGACGGGUGAGUAAUACGUAGACAACCUUCCUCUUUAAGGGGGAUAGCCCACCGAAAGGUGGGGUAAUACCGCGUACGAUCGAGAGUCGGCAUCGAUUCUUGAUGAAACAUCCGCAAGGAUGGUAGAGAGACGGGUCUACGGCCUAUCAGCUAGUUGGUGAGGUAACGGCUCACCAAGGCAAAGACGGGUAACCGGCCUGAAAGGGUGGACGGUCACACUGACACUGAGACACGGGUCAGACACCUACGGGUGGCAGCAGUGAGGAAUCUUGGACAAUGGGGGCAACCCUGAUCCAGCGACGCCGCGUGAAGGAUGAAGGUCUUCGGAUUGUAAACUUCUUUUCUCUGGGAAUAAUAAAUCGAUAGAAAUAUCGAGAUUGAAUGUACCAGAGGAAUAAGCCACGGCUAACUUCG